AGCUCCAAUAGCGUAUAUUAAAGUUGUUGCAGUUAAAAUGCUCGUAGUUGAAGUUUGGAUUGAGUAGAGCAUCAAAGCACUCUUAAUGGUGUUUCGUAGCUCUGGCUUGUCCACGGUGCGCUGCAAGCCGCGUUUGUGGUUUGAGCGUACACUUUACUUUGAGAAACAUAGGGUGUUCCACGCAUGUUACUGCAUGAAUAUUCCAGCAUGGGAUAAUAUGGUACGACUUUCAUUCUGCCAUUUUGGUUCGUAGAAUGAAAGUAAUGAUUAAUAGGGACUGUCGGGGGCAUUGGUAUUUGACUGUCAGAGGUGAAAUUCUUAGAUUUGUCGAGGACCAACCACUGCGAAAGCAUUUGUCAAGGAUGUCUCCAU
rnacentral:rRNA from 1 species